rnacentral:tRNA from 1 species
GUCUCGGAUAGCUUAACUGGAAGAGCCCUUGGCGCGUAACCGAGAGAUCUGGGUUCGAUUUCCAGUCUGGGCU